rnacentral:rRNA from 1 species
AAUCUUCCGCAAUGGACGAAAGUCUGACGGAGCGACGCCGCGUGAGUGAUGAAGUUCUUCGGUUUGUAAAACUCUGUUGUUAGGGAAGAACAAGUACUGGUCUAGUAUACCGGUAGCUUGACGGUACUUAACUAGAAAGCACCUGCUAACUACGUUCCAGCAGCCGCGGUAAUACGUAGGGGGCAAGCGUUGUCCGGAAUUAUUAGGCGUAAAGGGCUCGUAGGCGGUCUUCUAAGUCUGAUGUGAAAUCUCGUAGCUUAACUACGAACGGUCAUUGGAAACUGGGAGACUUGAGUACAGAAGAGGAGAGUGGAAUUCCACGUGUAGCGGUGAAAUGCGUAGAGAUGUGGAGGAACACCAGUGGCGAAGGCGACUCUCUGGUCUGUAACUGACGCUGAGGAGCGAAAGCUUGGGUAGCGAAC